GACCCCCUGCCAUUUGAGAAAGUUCUAAUAUCUUGUAAAUGGUUGAGAUCCCCACCCCUAAACCAUAUAUAUUCUGGUUUGUCAUGAUAAAGCACAUCAAAUGAAAUACAGGGUUAGUCCCCAGGGGUAACCCCCACCCCCUGCCAUUUAAGAAAAUUCUAAUACCUUGUAAGUGGUCAAGAUCCCCAC